rfam:Triticum urartu cultivar G1812 contig281775, whole genome shotgun sequence.
ACGGCUAUAGGAUAAUGGUUAGUCCAAUCGUCUUCCAAACGAUGUGUACCGAUUCGACUUCGGUUGGCCGUA